AGAGAGGAGAGGGAGAGAGAGAGAGAGAGAGAGAGAGAGAGAGAGAGAGAGAGACACGUUGUGUCUCUCUUGGCAUCUGGCCAGAACACGAGAUGCAAAGGAUUCUGGGUACAGAUAAGAGAGAAUUAAAUUGCUGAACUGCUACUAAAUAGUGCUGACUAAUUGUCAUGUGCGGUAAUUCAGUUCCAGCUGUCCUAAAAUUAUUACAAAUAGUUCUGUAGAAUAUGCAGGUUCAAAUAUGUAUAUAUAUCAGUAUAAAUAUAUAUAUAUCAUCGGGGGUUAACAGCCUGUCCUGCCGCCUUGUGUGCUUUCUGCAGCAGCUUCUCACGCCCCCCAGUUCCCCCGGUGCAGCGCACCAGGGGUUAACACUGGGUAGUACUGCCUUGUGCUGCUGGGGCUCCCUGCAUGGAAACCAGAACAUGAAAUCCCUGAUAUUGAGCAUGAAACAGAUGGCAACUAGCAUGAAACUGCUGGCAACGGGCAUAGAACCCAGGGCAUGAAACCAUAAACAAUGAGCAUUAGACUCCUGGCAACGAGCAUGGAACCCAGGGCAUGAAACCAUUGGCAACGAGCAUGAGACCCCUGGCAACUAGCAUGAAACCGCUGGCAAAGGGCAUAGAACCUAGGGCAUGUAACCAUUGGCAACGAGCAUGAGACACCUGGCAACGAGCAUGAGACCCCUGGCAACGAGCAGGUGCUCAACCAGAUGUCUCUCAAACUCUCCGAAGCUGUCAUACUUUCUCCAACGUUCCGGCUUCCCGUGCUGCCUCUGGAUAAUCCAAGCACAAAUGUUUGAGAUUUCUUUCACCAAAGUGCUGUCUCCUCCUUCUAGUCUAGCUGCAAAGUGUUAAUGAAAUGAUAGUUACAUGUUAAAAUGUACAAAUAUUUUAAUACUAUAUACUCCAUGUUCUAGUCUAUAGCUAUGGCUAUAAAUAAAUACACAACAUUAUAAUACCAUCAAA